rnacentral:rRNA from 1 species
GAUGAACGCUGGCGGCGUGCCUAAUACAUGCAAGUCGAGCGAAUGGAUUAAGAGCUUGCUCCUAUGAAGUUAGCGGCGGACGGGUGAGUAACACGUGGGUAACCUGCCCAUAAGACUGGGAUAACUCCGGGAAACAGGGGCUAAUACCGGAUAACAUUUUGAAGCGCACGGUUCGAAAUUGAAAGGCGGCUUCGGCUGUCACUCAGGGAUGGACCCGCGUCGCAUUAGCUAGUUGGUGAGGUAACGGCUCACCAAGGCAACGAUGCGUAGCCGACCUGGGAGGGUGAUCGGCCGCACUGGGACUGAGACACGGCCCAGACUCCUACGGGAGGCAGCAGUAGGGAAUCUUCCGCAAUGGACGAAAGUCUGACGGAGCAACGCCGCGUGAGUGAUGAAGGCUUUCGGGUCGUAAAACUCUGUUGUUAGGGAAGAACAAGUGCUAGUUGAAUAAGCUGACACCUUGACGGUACCUAACCAGAAAGCCACGGCUAACUACGUGCCAGCCGCCGCCGUAA